rnacentral:rRNA from 1 species
UACGUAGGGGACAAGCGUUGUUCGGAAUUACUGGGCGUAAAGGGCGCGUAGGCGGCACGACAAGUCGGGAGUGAAAGGCCCGGGGCUCAACCCCCGGGAAUGUCUCUCGAAACUGUCGAGCUAGAGUGCAGAAGAGGCAACUGGAAUUCCCAGUGUAGCCGGUGAAAUGCGUAGAUAUUGGGAAGAAUACCUGAGGCGAAGGCGGGUUGCUGGGCUGACACUGACGCUGAGGCGCGAGAGCGUGGGGAGCAAACCGG